GUCCGUCUUUUAUGUAGAGGCUAAAAUGGUUCAUAUUAAGUUCGAAUCUUUUUGGAUCAAACCAAACAUAGUUCAGAAGAAAUUGUCGCUUUGAGUAAUAACUGCCACUGUUGCAUAAGGAUAAUAAAUGAGCUAAUGUUCAGCUAGUUUACAUAUGAUAUGAGUACUCGAUAAAUUUUAUCGUCCUGAUAUCAGAUUCCAUAUUA
rnacentral:lncRNA from 1 species